rnacentral:lncRNA from 1 species
AUGAAUUAAUCUGGCUAUAGGCUUUUCUUGUUGGGAGACUUAUUUUUGUUUUCCAUAUAAUUUUGGUUCAAUUUGGGUAGGUUCAUAUAUGUCUAGAAAUCUGUCCAUUUCAAUUAUUGGCAUGUAGUUUUUUAAGAUAGUCCUUAGUGAUCCUUUGAAUUUUGGUAUCUGCUGUAAUGUCUCCUUUUUUCUCCUAUAAUUGUACGUAUAUGGGUCUUCUCUCUGUUUUGGUUAGUUUAGCUAAAGAUUUGUCAAUUUUGGUUUAUCUUUUUAAGAAUCAUCUCAUCGAUUUAUUGAUACUUAGUUCUGUUCUUUUAGUCUCUAUUUCAUGUAUUCCUGCUCUGAUUAUCAUUAUUUUUCUACUGACCUUGAGUUUAGUUUCUUCUUUGUUUUCUAAGACUUUGAGAUACAUCAUUAGGUUAUUUGAGAUGUCUCAGUUGUUUUUUAAUGUAACUAUUCAGUACCAUUAACUUCUCUCUUAGUACUGCUUUCACUGUUUCACUGUAUCCUGUGGCUUCUGGUAUGCAUUGUUUUCAUUUUCAUUCAUUACUCAGAUUUUGUAAUCUCCCCUCCCCUGAUGUUUUCAUUGACUGAUCAUUCAAAAGUUAUAUUGUUCAAUUUCCAUGUGUUUGUAUAAAUUGUGUAGUUUAGCUUGCUAUUAAUUUCUCUCUCCCCUUUUGUCUAGGAAUAUUUGUUUUGUAAAAUCGGGUGCUUUUAUGUUGGUGCACAUAUGUUUAUAAUCAUUUUAUCUUCUUGAUGAAUUGUUCCCUUGAUCAAUUUGUAGUGAACUCUUUGUAACUUCUAGCUAAUUUUGUCUUACUGUCUUUGUGAGCUAUAAGCAUAGCUAUUUCAGCUUUCUUUUGGAUUCUAUUUGUUUAGAAUAUCAUUUUCCCACCUUUUGCUUUCAGUCUGUGUAUGUCUUUGCAGGUGAGGUGAGUUUCUUGCAGGAACCAUAUUUUGGGGUCUUGUUUUUUCAGUCAGUCUGCAUUAUUAAAUUUACAACAUUCUAGUCCUUCUCUAGCCUGUAACUCAAAGUCUUUCCAAACACUGGUUA